ensembl:ncRNA K03H4.6 ncRNA
ACAGAAUGAUUGGGCAUAUGCAACAUAUGUGCCAGGGUUCAAAAAAUGCAAGACGAGCAAGCAUAUUCUAUUCAAAUUGAUUGACAGUUCGCUGAGCAUUAUUCAAUAGGAUCCAGCAUUUCGAGUUGAGAUUCGCUUCAUUU